GCGGCGCUGGCGCAGCGGCUCGGCCGUGCGGCGUUCGUGCUGAUGCGCGGCCACGGUUCGACCGUGGUGGCGCC
rnacentral:tRNA from 1 species